UACGUAGGGUGCAAGCGUUAAUCGGAAUUACUGGGCGUAAAGCGUGCGCAGGCGGUUAUAUAAGACAGUUGUGAAAUCCCCGGGCUCAACCUGGGAACUGCAUCUGUGACUGUAUAGCUAGAGUACGGUAGAGGGGGAUGGAAUUCCGCGUGUAGCAGUGAAAUGCGUAGAUAUGCGGAGGAACACCGAUGGCGAAGGCAAUCCCCUGGACCUGUACUGACGCUCAUGCACGAAAGCGUGGGGAGCAAUCAGG
rnacentral:rRNA from 1 species